UGACUCAGAGGUUAAAGUGUCUGCCUGCAAUGCAGGAGACCUGGGUUCAAUCCCUG
rnacentral:tRNA from 1 species